rnacentral:misc_RNA from 1 species
UUUCCGUAGGUGAACCUGCGGAAGGAUCAUUAUUGAAUAAACCUGAUGUGACUGUUAGCUGGCUUUUCGAAGCAUGUGCUCGUCCGUCAUCUUUAAUCUCUCCACCUGUGCACAUUUUGUAGUCUUGGAUACCUCUCGAGGCAACUCGGAUUUUAGGAUCGCCGUGCUGUACAAGUCGGCUUUCCUUUCAUUUCCAAGACUAUGUUUUUAUAUACACCAAAGUAUGUUUAAAAAAUGUCAUCAAUAGGAACUUGUUUCCUAUAAAAUUAUACAACUUUCAGCAACGGAUCUCUUGGCUCUC